GUAUGCUCUUUCUAGUUAAAAUACUCAGUGUUUCAACGUAUGUAUAUGCAUCAUCUUCAUGUUUCAGAAUGAUCUCUUGCUUAUUGCACAUAUUGUUUGCAAGAGAGACUUAUGAACACGAAAUCACUUCAUUCACAUUUCUAGUUGAUGCAUGUAGCCAAGGUACAUAUGAUUUGGUACGUAUUCUCUUCUAUGUGUGCUCAUGCAUUCCAAAAGCAACUAUUAUGUAAAGGACUGCACACAUAUAGGGGAGCCUAGUUAAGUCACAUGCCUAUCAAAGCUAUCAUAUAUAAUGUUGCAUAUUUCAAGUUGAAGCUUUGAUUGUAUGUUGUCAUCAAUUACCAAAGAAGGGGAGAUUGAAAGCACAAAUGCUCCCUUGGUGGUUUUGAUGAUUAAUGACACCAUACAUUGUCUCUUGGACUAACACUAUUAUCUAGUCUAUUUAGAUCUAGUCCAAAGAGGGGAGUGGAUGGGAAUUGUGAGAAGGAUCCCCAAUAUGGAAAGGAACCUUAUAGGCAAGUCUUGAAGCAAGUCUUGAAGCUUCAAGACUUUACAUCUGAUUGUUUGUGAGAAAUCACUAUUGAGUCCAUAGUAAAGCCAAUACUAUUAAAAGGGGGUAAGGUACUAAUAAUGAUCUGGUUGCUCAAGUGCUGAG
rnacentral:lncRNA from 1 species